rnacentral:pre_miRNA from 1 species
GAGACACCCUUAUGGGGCAGGACUUGCUUCAGUGGGGCUUUGGUGCUCACUGAGUCUGCCCCUUCAGUGUGUCUCU